CCUGUUUAACAAAAACAUCUCUAAUUGCUUCACAAUUAGUAAGACCUGCACAAUGAUUUCUUUAAAUAGCCGCUAUUAUGUGCUAAGGUAGCAUAAUAAUUUGCCUACUAAUUAUAGGACAGAAUGAAAGGUUUAACAUGAAACUUUCUUUAUUACUUCGAUAAAUUGAACUUUUCACAAAAGUAAAAAGACUUUUAUUAAUAAGAGGGACGACAAGACCCUAUUGAACUUUACUUAUGUUUAGCUGGGGCGGCAUCAAACUACUUCUUUUAUUAUACUUCUUCUAAUCCUACUUCUGAAUAAAUCAAGUUACUAUAGGGAUAACAGCACAAUUUUUUUUUAGAGAUCUUAUCAAAAAAAAAGAUUAUGACCUCGAUGUUGAAUUAAAAAUCUCCUUUACGCAAAAUUAAAGAAUAGAAAGUCUGUUCGACUUUUAAUAAUUUACGUGAUCUGAGUUCAGACCGG
rnacentral:rRNA from 1 species